GACGAACGCUGGCGGCGUGCUUAACACAUGCAAGUCGAGCGGUAAGGCCCUUUCGGGGGUACGACGAGCGGCGAACGGGUGAGUAACACGUGGGUGACCUGCCCUUAGCUCUGGGAUAAGCCUGGGAAACUGGGUCUGAUACCGGAUAUGACUCCAUGACGCAUGUUGUGGGGUGGAAAGCCUUGUGCGGCUAGGGAUGGGCCCGCGGCCUAUCAGCUUGUUGGUGGGGUGAUGGCCACCAAGGCGACGACGGGUAGCCGGCCUGAGAGGGCGACCGGCCACACUGGGACUGAGACACGGCCCAGACUCCUACGGGAGGCAGCAGUGGGGAAUCUUGCGCAAUGGGCGAAAGCCUGACGCAGCGACGCCGCGUGAGGGAUGACGGCCU
rnacentral:rRNA from 1 species